GCCGGGAUAGCUCGGUUG
rnacentral:tRNA from 1 species